GAGAGAGUGGGAUUAUAAAUAUUCCUCUCUUGAUAUUGGGCAGCAGGCAUGAAUGGAAGAUAGGAUUUUUUGAUGAGUUCUUUCUCUUUAGCUAAAGUUUUGUUUACAUACAUUAUUAUUCCCUUCAUUUUCAACUCACAAAUUGUAUGAGGUGGUUGCUGAGGUGUGCUGCAGCCAUCCGUUCCCCUUGGUGCAUCACCUG
rnacentral:lncRNA from 1 species